UGAGCAUGACACUUCCAAUUGCCCUUUAUUACUUCUCUGUCAUCUGCGUCGCUUGCUGUUUCGGCGAUCCCAUCACUAAUAUGGCCGCCGUCAGGGUUCUCCUCCGCGAGGAUACGCCGUCGCGCGCGGCCUCCUCCCUGCCCACGGGCCGCCGGUCACCGCGGCUGCCCACUCCUCCCAGACCGACUCGGCGGCGGCCGCGUCUAAGCCUAAGCUUACCAAGACCUUCUCCAUCUACCGAUGUACGAGUGUAUUCUUUGCGCCUGCUGCUGGACCUCCUGCCCUAGCUGUUGGUGGAAUCCUGAGGCCUAUCUUGGGCCAGUUGCCCUCCUUCAUGCCCAUAGGUGAAGAAUUUGGGAGAAUAUGCGCUCUUUUUAUGCAACAACCAAUCUCUUUGUCUCUCUUGUAAAGACUUUCUUGAGUUGACACCAAACCGCAUCUAUUUCACUAAUGACUUUUGGUGGUGGAAUAAUCACCAUAGAGAGAAAUGCCGGGAUGUAAUCGUCUAUGACUUGGAGAGCGAUACCUUCUCAUAUAUUUUGCACUCUGAUGCUCGUCUAAACAUGCCACCUCCUAUUUGGAACACUCCCAGUCCUCUACUCAGUGACUGAUAGAACAGCCGGGAUCAGAACACAAAGGUGCGCCUGGAUGCUGUAAAUGAUGAGUUCAAACCGUACCGUUACCACACUAUCAUGAACUUUGCUCAUGCCUGCCCCAUGGGACUGAACCCCGCGAAGCAAAUUGAAUAUAGAUCAAAAAGCUUCAGCUUCAUUAAAUUUUUCCUGAGAUGCCAUUUGUUGCUUUGAAGAGGCAGCAUCUGCCAUUUAGUUAUUUAUUUUUGCAUCAAUAACAUUCACGGAUUGGUGAUGUACUUGCAACUCUUAGUAUCCAAUUGUGCUCAUCAAUAAUGACCUGAAACUUGUCUAUUUUUUGGAAGAUAUCAUUGUUGCAGCAAUUUCUACGGUCGAGGUUUGUUUAUGUGACGAGUUGGUUAAAUUGUCUAAUGGACUGUUGUUUGAUUUGAAUUAAGUUGGUGAUUGAAUUUGGUGUUA